rnacentral:rRNA from 1 species
AUUGAACGCUGGCGGCAUGCUUUACACAUGCAAGUCGAACGGCAGCGCGGGCUUCGGCCUGGCGGCGAGUGGCGAACGGGUGAGUAAUACAUCGGAACGUGCCCAGUAGUGGGGGAUAGCUCGGCGAAAGCCGGAUUAAUACCGCAUACGACCUGAGGGUGAAAGCGGGGGAUCUUCGGACCUCGCGCUAUUGGAGCGGCCGAUGGCAGAUUAGCUAGUUGGUGGGGUAAAGGCCUACCAAGGCGACGAUCUGUAGCUGGUCUGAAAGGACGACCAGCCACACGCGCAGGAAGACGCGGGCCAUGCACGUGGGGGAGGGUGCAGUGGGGUAUUUGGCACAAUGAGCGACAGCAGGAUACAGGAGUGUGGGGUGGGUGAUGAGGGCCUUCGGGUGGAAAAGCACUUUGGGCGGGAACGAAAAGAAGUUUGCAAAGACCCCCCUGCGAUGACAGCACCCGAAAAAAAGGAACCGGAUACCUAGGCGCCAGCGCCCGUGGUAAUAAUCGGAGGAGCAACGUCUGAGC